AAUUUUGUUAAUACUGACGAUCAAUUAAUUGUUCUACCUAAAAUUACUUAUGUUUCCAAAAAGUUUGUACAUUGUUCCUCUUAAACAUUUCCCAUGUUCCUCGAAACUUAAGUUUGCAAUUCAAUAAUUGUUGCAAUUGAAUUUGAAAAUUGAACGAAAAAAAUUGCUCAAUAAUUGCUGCAAUUCUGCAAUUGAACGCCCAUUUCGCCUCGUUUAGUCGUUUCACGAUGUAAGAACGACAUGGGCGACACUGGCGACAUCUAGUAAUGAGUUUUGAAUCUUAAGUUAGUUGCAGAGUCAACAAUUUCAAAACAAAUUAAAAAGCUAAACAACGGAGAUCGGAUAAUAAAUAAUUUCAGCAGUUGUCAUGUACCUGGCCAACCAAGGUGCUCGUGAAAAUAGAAAUGAAAUGGUCUAAUCUAAUAAUGCAAGCUCACAACCUAUGUCUUCUGAAGCAAAAUACUUUAAGUUGCAAGUUGUAAAUCUUCAAGGUAUUGAUGCCUUCUCUACUUAGAAUCUUCUCUACUUUCUCUUAUCUGACUCUCCACACCCUCUCUCCAUACCCCUGCACAAACUUCCAAAGACAAGACUCUGAAAACUGAAAUAUUGAUCUGCCACCUGGGGAAACGACAGAAUUUAACUUUUGUUAUGCGGUUUUUCUGAAAUCUUAUUAUGUAAUACCAUUAUUUUUAGGUUCUUCAUGGCAUUUAAUUUUUGAAUUAGAGAUUUGUGAAAAAAGUUG